rnacentral:rRNA from 1 species
AAGGAUCAUUACAGAGUUCCUGCCCUCACGGGUAGAAACCCCACCCUUGUGUAUAUUAUAUUGUUGCUUUAGCAGGUCGCCCUCUGGGCGUCGGCCUCGGCUGACUGUGCCUGCUAGAGGACCCUAAAUUUUGAAAUACAGUGUCGUCUGAGUACUAUUUAAUAGUUAAAACUUUCAACAACGGAUCUCUUGGUUCUGGCAUCGAUGAAGAACGCAGCGAAAUGCGAUAAGUAAUGUGAAUUGCAGAAUUCAGUGAAUCAUCGAAUCUUUGAACGCACAUUGCGCCCCUUGGUAUUCCGGGGGGCAUGCCUGUUCGAGCGUCAUUUAGACCAACUCCCGCUCCGGCGGGGUCUUGGGCUGCGCCUUUGGGCGGGCCUUAAAACCAGUGGCGGUGCCCUAAGGCUCUACGCGUAGUAAUUCUUCUCGCGAUAGGGUCCUUGCGGUGUCUUGCCAGCAACCCCCAACUCUCUAGGGUUGACCUCGGAUCAGGUAGGGAUACCCGCUGAACUUAA